ACGAAAGUAGGCUUCCAGAUCGCCGCAGAACUGUAUCAUGGUGGGGGUGGAAGGGCAGAAAGAGAGUCCCCGAGUUAGGACAGACUUUUCUCUUCUGGGCUGAGUGUGUAGUGUGGAC